UCGCGAUGACUCGUCACUGACUCAACACGGUCCAAAUGGUCCAAGAUGGCGGUAUUCUACUUCUACCAGCCGUCUGAGGCUGUCUUUGACUCCCCAUGGAGUUGCCAUGUGCAAAUGGUCAGAAAGAGGACCAUGUGACGUGGCCCGUUAUAUAUGACGCUCCAGGUGGUGAGCCGUGGCCAUCGAUCGCCUAUUGAAUGAUGUCCUGGGGAUCUUCCCGGGGGUGGGGGGGGGGGCGGUAAGUGUUUGCCAACUCUUCAGGCAGCUCACCGAGGUACACGAGUUCGCAAUUAAAGCCUUACCGCCUAUGGCAGUGGCAAUCGACGUCGCAUAUGUGACCGUAGGUCCGUGAAUAGUCUGGAGAACAAGCCGAAGGCCCGGUAGUGACCCAAGCCAGUUAAUGAGCGCGACUCGCCGGUGCCCGGGCCGCGUAAUGAGCCGCAACGAGGAAGGAAACGCUGGCCGCGGGCUUCGCGUGCAAUCCACUUGGCGACAUGCGUGUCGCGUCCGUGUGCCCGCCAGGCCGCACGCUAACUCCCGAGGAGCCGAUUUCUUCUUCCUUCCUCUCUGAGCCGCUCAUAGUCAUCUCUCUCCUGUCACCUCCCUAAAUCUUACGCCGUUACCACCCAAAAUAACAUCUCUGCUUCGCACCUGUCACCGCCGAUUUGUCUCCCGGCCCUCCGUCAACUCGUGCGCUCGUGUUGUCUUUUCAUUUGACAAAGUGUAAGGCAGAGAAGGAAUAAAAGAAGCCUUCUCAGCACCACAGAAACGGCAAAUCUUAUCAGAGGCAUUUGAAAAAAGUGACAGAACGUGAGACAGAGAGCCGUCAAGGCUAGCCAAGGCUGAUGUCGCAGGAGAUCACGAAGAGGCACAUCUUCCCUCCUCUUGUCAUGGCGGCAAGAGAACAAUCCGCUUGCUUUGCUCUGCAUUUAUUUGCGGAAUAAAUAAGAAAGUGAAUAAUGUGCAUUCAUGCAAAUGCGGCCCUGCUAGCACUUGUCUUUCUCUCUCUCUCCCAGUUUAUUUUCUAUAAAAGCACAGAGACAAAACCGGGCGCUCUCUUUGGACCGUAGCACCAAUUUAUUAGCAACAUAUGCGCCGCAAGACUCAUUAUUAAAGUUUAAUUUGAAUCUUGUCUAAUAUAUGAAUGCAGCAAAUAAAAGCAUACUAUAUAUACAGUGUGUGUGUGUGUAUCACACACUGUAUAUGAAUAUGUAACCAUGUCAACCAUACUUUGAAUCUUUUCAUUAAUGUUGCCCUCUGCCCUCGUGAAAUUAAUGUAGCACUGUCACUGUUAGCAUAGCGGCAGGUAAGGUCCCGCGGGAACACGUCGCGCGAGUGAGAUUCAGACCCGGAAGUGAAGGGUGGACGAAAUGCCCGCGAAAGGUGACGGCCUAGUAGCCAUGCAUGCUACAUUCUCCAACUCGAAAUACCUCCAAUCGUCCUUGUCAUCCGGGCGAUAUUCAGGGGAGAUUGGUUGUUGUGCAGAAGCCUGUCUCGUGUGCAUCCAACACGCCUGAAAGUGUUCAGUAAGUGUGUCCGCCUCUCACCAGAAUGGACCAUAAUGUUCAGUCGCGUUGCACUUUUAAGUCACAAGGAGUGUUGGGGCUUGGGGAUGAAAAGUCAUUUCUGUUUCCCUAUUAUGCAAGCUACUACUUUUGUCGCAUACUUUUCUUUGAUCUGUUUUGAUCUGACAUAUCUUUGUCCAGUCGGGAAUAAAGCCCACAUAAAACUUA